UACAGAGGGGGCAAGCGUUGUUCGGAAUUACUGGGCGUAAAGGGCGCGUAGGCGGCCAACUAAGUCGGACGUGAAAUCCCCGGGCUCAACCCGGGAACUGCGUCCGAUACUGGAUGGCUUGAAUCCGGGAGAGGGAUGUGGAAUUCCAGGUGUAGCGGUGGAAUGCGUAGAGAUCCGGAGGAAGACCGGUGGCGAAGGCGGUCUGCUGGGCAGUUUCUGACACUGAGGCGCGACAGCGUGGGGAGCAAACAGGG
rnacentral:rRNA from 1 species